rnacentral:rRNA from 1 species
GACGAACGCUGGCGGCGUGCUUAACACAUGCAAGUCGAGCGGUAAGGCCCUUCGGGGUACACGAGCGGCGAACGGGUGAGUAACACGUGAGUAAUCUGCCCAUCACUUCGGGAUAACUCCGGGAAACCGGUGCUAAUACCGAAUAUGACCACUUCAGGCAUCUGAUGGUGGUGGAAAGUUCCGGCGGUGAUGGAUGAGCUCGCGGCCUAUCAGCUUGUUGGUGGGGUAGUGGCCUACCAAGGCUUCGACGGGUAGCCGGCCUGAGAGGGUGACCGGCCACACUGGGACUGAGACACGGCCCAGACUCCUACGGGAGGCAGCAGUGGGGAAUAUUAGACAAUGGGCGAAAGCCUGAUCCAGCAACGCCGCGUGAGGGAUGACGGCCUUCGGGUUGUAAACCUCUUUCAGCAGGGACGAAGCGCAAGUGACGGUACCUGCAGAAGAAGCACCGGCCAACUACGUG